rnacentral:rRNA from 1 species
GACGAACGCUGGCGGCGUGCUUAACACAUGCCAGUCGAGCGGUAAGGCCUUUCGGGGUACACGAGCGGCGAACGGGUGAGUAACACGUGGGUGAUCUGCCCUGCACUUCGGGAUAAGCCUGGGAAACUGGGUCUAAUACCGGAUAUGACCUCCUAUCGCAUGGUGGGUGGUGGAAAGAUUUAUCGGUGCAGGAUGGGCCCGCGGCCUAUCAGCUUGUUGGUGGGGUAAUGGCCUACCAAGGCGACGACGGGUAGCCGACCUGAGAGGGUGACCGGCCACAAUGGGACUGAGACACGGCCCAGACUCCUACGGGAGGCAGCAGUGGGGAAUAUUGCACAAUGGGCGAAAGCCUGAUGCAGCGACGCCGCGUGAGGGAUGACGGCCUUCGGGUUGUAAACCUCUUUCAGCAGGGACGAAGCGCAAGUGACGGUACCUGCAGAAGAAGCACCGGCUAACUACGUG